rnacentral:lncRNA from 1 species
GUGAGGUGCCAGAGCCAGGUCUGAAAGCCAGGUAUCUGAGUCUGGGUCCAUACUGCUUGUCCACAGAAAGAGGCAGAUGGGGCAAGGGGCCUGUGAAAGCAGGAGGCCAUGGGCUGGGGGUGGCAGGGGGCUGGGAAAGGGAGGGGCUGGAAAUGGGGCCAGGCCAGAGGGAGAGGGCGGGAGUGAUGGUGGCAGGGGGCUUGCAAUGAUUUCUCUCAUGGGAAACCCCUAAGUCCCUGAGGGUGGGAUUCAAGGUUGUCCCAGGAGGGGGUGUGAGGAGCGGAGGUGUUGGAGGCACUGGAGCCAUUUUUGGAGAUUUGGGGCUCGCAGAUACAGGAGGGAGUGCUAUAGUGGAAGAGGG